CAGCAGCCGCGGUAAAACGUAGGGGGCGAGCGUUGUCCGAAGUUACUGGGCGUAAAGCGUGCGCAGGCGGUUGUGUAAGACAGGUGUGAAAUCCCCAGGCUUAACCUGGGAACUGCGCUUGUGACUGCACAGCUAGAGUAUGGCAGAGGGGGGUGGAAUUCCACGUGUAGCAGUGAAAUGCGUAGAGAUGUGGAGGAACACCGAUGGCGAAGGCAGCCCCCUGGGCCAAUACUGACGCUCAUGCACGAAAGCGUGGGGAGCAAACAGGAUUAGAUACCCCAGUAGUCCCUGUCUCUUAUAC
rnacentral:rRNA from 1 species